CAGAAUAAGCACCGGCUAACUCCGUGCCAGCAGCCGCGGUAAUACGGAGGGUGCAAGCGUUAAUCGGAAUUACUGGGCGUAAAGCGCGCGCAGGCGGUUUGGUAAGUCAGAUGUGAAAUCCCCGGGCUCAACCUGGGAACUGCAUUUGAGACUGCCNGGCUAGAGUNNGGUAGAGGGGGGUGGAAUUCCNNGUGUAGCNGUGAAAUGCGUAGAUAUNNGGAGGAACACCGAUGGCGAAGGCGACCCCCUGGACCGNNACUGACGCUCAGGNGCGAAAGCGUGGGGAGCAAA
rnacentral:rRNA from 1 species